UGCUAUGUUUUAAAAUCAAGACAAAUGAGUUCAAUUAGACUAGUUGGAUCGUAAACCAGUCCUUAGUCUAGAAUAAUGAAAAACUCGUUGAACUAGUAUGUUCAAUGACUGAACUACUGGUAAGUUAAAAACUUAAAUCAGUAAUAUAUAUUUUUGACUUAUUGCUAAAUUCAAAAUUUUGAAACGAUACUGAUAAACUAAUGAUUUGGAACUCUCACAUGAAGUUUCAUAUCUGAUGUGAUUCUGAAUUCUUUUCGUUUUGUUAAGUCAUUGGAUCAAUUCUCACAGUAAAUGUUAAUAUUUUAAUACCUAAUCUUACAAUUUCAUGGGUUAAUUCUCCGUCCGUAAGUGGAGUGUUAAGAUUAUUUCUAAUUUAUUUUCAUUAUG
rnacentral:lncRNA from 1 species